GACGAACGCUGGCGGCGCGCCUAACACAUGCAAGUCGAACGAGCGAGAGAGAGCUUGCUUUCUUGAGCGAGUGGCGAACGGGUGAGUAACGCGUGAGGAACCCGCCCCAAAGAGGGGGACAACAGUUGGAAACGACGGCUAAUACCGCAUAAGCCCACGGUGCCGCAUGGCACGGAGGGAAAAGGAGCGAUUUGCUUUGGGGUGGCCCCGCGUCCGAUUAGCUUGUUGGUGUGGUAGCGGCCCACCAAGGCGACGAUCGGUAGCCGGACUGAGAGGUUGACCGGCCACAUUGGGACUGAGACACGGCCCAGACUCCUACGGGAGGCAGCAGUGGGGAAUAUUGCACAAUGGGGGAAAACCUGAUGCAGCGACGCCGCGUGGAGGAGGAAGGUCUUCGGAUUGUAAACUCCUGUUGUUGGGGAAGAUAAUGACGGUACCCAGCAAAGAAGUGACGGCUAACUACGUG
rnacentral:rRNA from 1 species